CGCUACUGAGGACGGCUUUUACCUCCUACCUCCCUACCUCCUCCCGACUCUCCCCUGUCCCGCCCGUGGUCGUUCGCUUCACGCCCGCCGCUCGCUAUUGCCACCCGCUACUGCCGCCGCCGUGCUUUAGGGCGGUGCGCGCCACCGGCGUUGACUCUCCCGGACGAUGUCGCGCGACGGUGUCGUAACAGGAGUCGCCCCGCCGUAAAGCGCCGUACGGAAGUGGCGGCACGCCCGUUUGGCCUCUCUAGCCGUCCCGUCCCCGCUCGCCUCGUGCUCUGCGCGACCGAGCUCGUAUAAGCUACUGCACGGCGUGAGGGGUAGCAGCGGUGCGGGAGGACGGCAGGCAGAGCCGUUAUCUCAGCUGUGCCGACCUUCCGGGGUUGCGCCCGGCUCUUCGCGGGACCCUCCGGCCGCGGUCCGUGGCCGUAAAGCGGCGCUUAUCUCACCUGUGUGCGAGGUUGUGAGGGGAAGUCAGCUGAGGGAGGGACGUGGAGAGAAGUUGUUUGACGGAUCAAGGCUGAUGUGCGACGUGGUUUAAUGGGGAAAUGCUGGAGAUGGUGAUGGUGGUACUUCUGAGAAAGUGUGUGAAGUAAUUCCGAACAAAAGAACAGCCGUAGGUGGAGUUACGCAGCUGUUUUCCCACAGCUUGGAACGCUGACAACAUGCACAUAAAAAUAACGUGAAAACGGAGAGCAUGGUCUGAAGCCUGGCCCAAGCCAAGGGUCAGACACAAACAGUGUGUGCUUCUAAAUGAUCUGCGUCACUCUUUGAAAGCCCAUACACGUAGUUCUCCACAUCAAUUAAGUUAUCGGUUUUUGGUGGCUUCUUUUCAAGAAUUAAGACAAUUAAAACUGAAAAUACAUUGCUGCAUUUAUUUUGAUUGCUAUUAUACAAACACCUCCCACAGAAUAAGGCAAGUGAACAUUUUGAGUGUCAGAGACUUCAAGUCAGUCAGUUUACACAUUCAAACAUCCAUCAUUUUUACAAAAUAGUUACUGUUCUUUAAAGUUCUUCGGGUACCUUAAAACAGGUUGCAGUUGAUGGUAGUUCCUGACUCAAUCCAGUCAGGAUUUUCCGGCAUAUGUUCAGGAUGUUCUCAUGCCUUCUUUUAAUUUCUUUUUAUCUCCUUUUAGGCGCUGUUCUGGUUUCAUGGAGAUAAAAAUGAUUAAAUGAAAAAAAAAGGAAAAUUCAGGGAUAUGAUUUUGUGCAAAAGAUACUUAAUUUGGAAACAGUCAGCCUCUGUCUUUCAUAGGAGUCUGAUUUCAAGAUCCAAAUUUAUAUUCAUAUUCUUCUAACAUUGUGAUUGACUCACAUAACUGAUACUUCCAACUUUAUCACAAACAUGCUUAGGGAUGUGCUUGAAAAUGUGUUUCUAAUACUUUCUAAAGCAAAAAGAAGAAAGCACUUACUUGAUCAUGAAGAACAAGCAGAUUGCCAAAAGUAAUAUGAGUUCUACUCUAAAGCCACUGGGGAAGAUUGUACAUCAUUUUCUUUUGCUAGUACAUUCUCAUCCAUGCUGAUUUGAUUGUGGAAUAAAUUUGCUGUAAUAGAAGCAGUGGUGGCCAUUUUCAGCAUCUAAAAGUAUUUUGGCUCUGUGACACAACAGAUCUAGUCUUUGCAUUAAAGCAAUUAAAUGAAGACCUCAGUAUGGGUGCUGCAUAUUGCCUUGUUCAAGGCUGCUUUAUUCCAGUGAGCCUUGUUAGACAAGACUUCUGAAGGAGCAGAACUGUAAGAAAAAUGGAGCAUAGCCAUAACCUAACUGUUCCUACUACCAAAACAGCAGAAUAACUAAUUCAUGAUAACUAGAUAAUUCUAUUUUUGUUAUUCAGUGGUACAGAUGGUAUUUGAUUUUUGAAGACAGCUAAGUUCACAUUGUCAAUUAAAGUCUUAUUCUCUUU